rnacentral:rRNA from 1 species
GCUCUUGUGGAUCAGUGGCGAACGGGUGAGUAACACGUGAGCAACCUGCCCCGGACUCUGGGAUAAGCGCUGGAAACGGCGUCUAAUACUGGAUACGAGACGUGAUCGCAUGGUCAACGUUUGGAAAGAUUUUUCGGUCUGGGAUGGGCUCGCGGCCUAUCAGCUUGUUGGUGAGGUAAUGGCUCACCAAGGCGUCGACGGGUAGCCGGCCUGAGAGGGUGACCGGCCACACUGGGACUGAGACACGGCCCAGACUCCUACGGGAGGCAGCAGUGGGGAAUAUUGCACAAUGGGCGAAAGCCUGAUGCAGCAACGCCGCGUGAGGGAUGACGGCCUUCGGGUUGUAAACCUCUUUUAGCAGGGAAGAAGCGAGAGUGACGGUACCUGCAGAAAAAGCGCCGGCUAACUACGUGCCAGCAGCCGCGGUAAUACGUAGGGCGCAAGCGUUAUCCGGAAUUAUUGGGCGUAAAGAGCUCGUAGGCGGUCUGUCGCGUCUGCUGUGAAAACUGGAGGCUCAACCUCCAGCCUGCAGUGGGUACGGGCAGACUAGAGUGCGGUAGGGGAGAUUGGAAUUCCUGGUGUAGCGGUGGAAUGCGCAGAUAUCAGGAGGAACACCGAUGGCGAAGGCAGAUCUCUGGGCCGUAACUGACGCUGAGGAGCGAAAGGGUGGGGAGCAAACAGGCUUAGAUAC